rnacentral:lncRNA from 1 species
GCUGUUUACAGUUUGUCUAAAAGAAUAUGAAUAAGUAAAAAUACGUUUUUUUUCCCUUUCAUUUUAUUUCCUGAAAACUUAAAACAAUGCAUAAUCAAGAAAAAUGUGAAUUCAAGGGACAAUGGGUGAAAUUCAGAACCUUCUUUAGUCAGUGGGAAGUCUUACUGACUUCAAUGAAGCCAAUAUUUUACCUGAUGCACCAACGUUCCAAUUCUUAUGAAAAUGCAGUGCAGACAGUUUGUGUAUCCUGCCACUGUGGGACUGCCACCACAGCCGUGCUCAUCAGUCAAACUCAGUGGAAGCCCUCUGAGAUUUCAAAGUCUACUAGCUUACAAGCAGAGCUGGCUUCGGGGUUUGGUACAGUUCUUAGGAAAACCUGUUUCUCUCGAGGCCUAUAACUACAUCUGCUGUGUUGGUGCAACUGGAUUGAAGAAAGGACGUUUGUGUAACAGCAUUUGUUAUAUGUGGAAAUGCAGAGAUUUCUUCACAUGCACAUUUCAGUACAACGUUACUGGAGAGAAAACAUGGUUAAUGGAAUGUUGAAAGAAGAGAGAAGCCUCAUCCUACCUCCACUGUCAUGACCGCCCUACUAAGAAGUGAAGGCCAUUGUAAGAGCUGCUGUUUUUUGACCUGCCUGUGCAGUAUGUGCAAACAGAGAGAUUCAUCAAGAGAAAUCAGAAGUCUGUAGUUACAAGGACAAAACUGGAAUUUUAAAAGCAACACAGUGCUGAAGGAUGUGUUUAAAACGUGAUCCCAG